CUUCUAUCCCAGAACCUUUCUAUUUGUACUACUUUCCUUGUAUACAAUCUUCCUUCACUGUCUACGCAUUCUUCUGUACGAAGUGUAUUCAUACUCUGUCUCUGGCGAGUAUUAACCACGCUUCCUCCUGAUUCUGAAGAAUUGAAACUCAUGUCGCAACUAGUGCAACUGUAAACUGCUUCCGGUUCUAUCUACAAAAGUUAAGUACAUUGUUAUAGCGAUUACAAUUUUAGCUAUAAUUAAAAUGAAAUAAUUUUUUUUAGAUUUAUACCUCGCAAAGUUCUUGCUUCACAUGUAAUAGCCCAUCUUCGUCUAAUUCACCUACAUCAUUUAUGUGAUCCAUAUUUAUCAGAGCAUUGGUGUCACCAUCAAGCAGUUCAGAGCCAUCAGGUAAAAUAGUAAUUACAUUUUUAUUGCUGCAUUUAUCAUCUGUUUUUGAAGUGGAAAUUGUAACUAGUUGGUCUUGGGACAAAGGUUUUUCUUCUGCUUUGCUAGUAGGAACUUUUUCCAUUUUAAAUUCCAAAGGAUUUUGCUCCAUCUCUGCCUCUUCAGUGUCCAUCUUUUCUACGACUUUGAUAUCUCCUGAUACGUUUGUUAGAAGUAAUAGUCAAAUAAAUAGAAUUGAUACAUAUUACGUUAGAAUUUUUACACACCAUUUUCGUCAACUUGUAUAGUUUGAGGCCCUCCAACUAUCAUGAUUCCACUGUCAUUUACCGUUGCUAGGAAACUUUGAUCUAUCCCCUCAACAUUUGCAUCCUAAAAUUAAAAUUAUUAAACAAAGACCAAAACAAAGGCCGGUAGAUAAAUUUGUGGGUGAUGCCAACCAUUAGCACCUCUGUGUCCGGUUCAGACUCCUGUUGAGCCUCUUGUCCAGGUUCAUGCUUGGGCUCAGGUGGUACAUCAUCAGAUUCAACACUCUGUCCACACCGAUCCAAAUGCUGAAUGAGUGCCAUUACCGAGUCGGAUCGCUGCGAACAACCAGGACAGUAUAGGUUGUCCGUCAUGCUUAAUAAAUGGUACUUUAACGACUGUGGAUUGUUAAACGUUUCGCCACAGCACAUCGGGCAAACAAGGUUCAACGAUCCCAUUAUCUUUUUGAUUUUCACGCUGACCUCGUAAAGGGUCUUCGGUGACUUUAACUUGACCCUAUAUUUUAUUAUUAACCUAAUUUGAUUUUGUUACGUUCGCCUAUUCUAGUCUUAAUUCGAAAACGGAACCGGCUUUCCGAUGAGAACCUAACCUGAUGAUGAAUUACAGAAAUGAGUGAAAUGGUCUAAACGCGUCUGGAUACUGAACAAUGUCAUAUUGUUUCGUCCUAAGAGGUGAGUUUUUCAAAGAACGUCUACUUAUUUGUAACCAAUUAUGUUACACUAAAUUAAACAGCACCUUCUUGUAAUAAAUGCAAUAACAAAACUCAUUAGAGACGAACUUCAGCGCAAACAAAUGCCGCACACAACAAUCAUGAAGUUAGGGAUGUGAUAAGUGAAUCGCGAAGUCGGCCAUUACAUGCGAGUUUUGCUAUAUAACUAUCGAAGUCAUAUUCGGGCUGUACCAUUUUCAAUUCAAUGAUUAUUUUAUUACGAUAUCAAUUAUGACGACUUUAUCUUACCUCUUUUUAUGAACGUGUUUAAUUAUCUCGUAUUACGAUCUGUGGACCGAUGCGGCUUGACAACAGUUAGAAACAAAUUAGAUGCUCAAUUGACAAAAGGCGCGCGUUAUGCUGAGAUUUUGUUUGAACAAACUUCACAACUGCAAAACUUCCCGCAAUUCAAAAGCAUUUGUCUGAAGUAUGCUCCAUAAUAGAUCAAUUUUUAUUGUCACAUCAAUUAAUUAUCAGAUUUUAUUUUAAAAUUGCAUCAAACUCGUUAUAAAAGGGUUAAAAAAUAAAAUAUGAAGGAACGACUUUUCAAAUAAUAAUAUAUAUUACUUAUUUGUCAACAUACAUAUAUUUACAUCGUCUUACUUAACAGUUACCACAAAUAUUAUCACACAACUUAAUAGUUUUGUAAUACCAUGAGUCAUUUCAUACCAUGCUUUCGCACAUGGAAUAUCAAUUUUCUUUUAACACUUCAAUCAGCAUGUUCAUGUUGAGCAUUGCUUUCACGCCAUGUAUUUUGAACUAAUUCUAUAAACUGCUGCCACCAUCUACUCUGUGAUGUAAAGUAUAAUCCACAGGCAGCAAUGAAGACCCAUGAAAGGACUAGACAAUAGUCAGUUUCAUUAGAUGGUGUACUGGAAACAGGACCAACAAAAUCCAAAGAUGUAACAUAUAAUGAUCCAUUUGGUUGUAAAUUAGUUAUGUGGGUUAUAAAUCUUGCAAAAGAUUCUAGUGUAUAGACGGUAUCAUUAAAUUUUGCUACUGGUUUCCCAUUGUGAACAAGCAUUAAUGUUGGAACUCCAACAAUUCCAUACUGAGCAUUGAAGCUGAAAAUAACAAAAAAUACAUGAAGUUAUAUCGCUUAAAUUAAUAAGAUAAAUAAAUAUAUUUUAUAGUAUUACUUUUGAUAUUUAAUAGCAUCAAUUGCUACAGCUUUGAUAUGUGGAAAUGAACGUGGUAGUGCAUUAAAGUGUGGUGCAGCCUGACUGCUAAAUAUACACCAUCUUGCAUAAAAUAAUACUAUUACACAUGUUCCUGGUAGCAUUCUACCUUCUUUGUCAUUUCUACUUCUAUUUGAUGGCCCAGGUUCUAAGAUCAAUAAUUUCAUUAAUCUGGUUGCAUUGACAAUCUGCAAUAAUAAGUGUUUGUAACUAAUUUUAUAUAAUUUAUUAAUUAAUUAUCUAAAUAUCUGAAUAUCCUACUUCUACUGGUCCAUAGACUGUGUCCAUCAAACAAUUGACUUUGGUCACAUUAGAGGUAGAAUUAUUUACUGUCACAUUUGAUUCAAUAGUUUUAUUUUCCUCUUUGACUCUUCCCUCUGGUAAAUCAAGCUCAGUCCCUUGUUCGGCGUUUUUAAAAGGAACUGCUUGUAUUCUUUCACAAACAUCCAUUCGCCCGAGGACAUUUAUCAUUUGAACUAAAUGGAUAAAAUAGGAUGAAUUCUUGUGUAGUAUUAUUAAUGCACAACAAAAAACAUUAAUGCCUUACCUAAAAUUAUGAUAAAUAAACACAAAUUCCUCCUAGAAACAUACAUUUUAUGUAUAUAACCUAAAAAUGUGUAUACAAGUUUCCGUUCAAAAAUUUGGAAUAAGCGUAUUAAAUUCACAAGUAAUUUAAACGAUUUUGCGUAAACGCACGAUAUUUAACGAACAGUCAUAAUUAAAAAGUAAUUGGCAGUAUGACACCUGUGACAAACGAAUUUAAGCAUUAUUUUUAUUUUCAUUCUCUAUAUAUUGACGAAACAAAGAUUCACUGUAAUUGCUGUAAUCGAUUGUUCGAGGUCGCGUCGAUCGCGUAUCUCGCAAAUCGAUUUAUUCUAUAGUUUGUUCUCCGUUCAUCUUGAGCGCUGAUGUCGCUCUUUUAAUACUCGUGUGAUUCCUUGUGAUUAACAUUGUUUGUAUCAUUAUUAAUUGUCAAUUCUAGAUAUGACAGCUUCACCACCAAAACCGGUGGGGCUGACAGGGAGUAAGGGCUUCAGACGCCUUUGCACACAGCCCGAAUAAAAGUCGGCACUGAGUGCGACCCCUGGCGUUGGCCACAUGAUAGGCACCCCAGAUGGGCACCAAUUUGUCAGGCGUGGAGGGCUUCAGGCCACUGAUUCGAGUAAAGGUAACUGCGGCACUGUUAUCAUCCGUUCGACCUAGAACGCAGUGAAACAGCAUCAGUCUUAUAGCGACCGCCGAGGGGUGCAGAUCUACCUGCUAAACAUACAUAUAUCUAUAUUUUAUUUUCUGCGUUCAUUUAAU